ensembl:lncRNA
CGGCAACUGACAUCUAGAUAGUUUCUAAGCAACAAAUGUACUAUAUUAAUGUUUUCAUUAGAAGAAUAAGCAAUUUUCUCCACAGUUAAAAAUUAAAAGUCACUCCAGCUCAAAUUACUUGUUUCUGCUAUUUUGUCUCCUUCAUUGAACUCAAAGUUAAAUCAGCAGAUUUAAACAAAACAAUUAAAAAGCAAGAUUGGUGUUUUUUUUCAUGACCAUGACCAUUACAAAGGGGCCAACAAAUGCUAACACCUCUGGGAACUCCUUCAAGACUGAAAACCAUUUCAGGUGACUACCUCAUGAAGCUCAUCAGAAUGCCAAGAGUGUGCAAAACAGUUAUCAGGGCAAAGGGUGGCUAUUUUGAAGAAAAUAGAAUAUAAAACAUGUUUUCAGUUAUUUCACCUUUUUUGGUUAAGUACGUAACUCCACAUGUGUUAGUUCAUAGUUUUGGUGCCUUCGGUGAGAAUCUACCAAAUGGUCAUGAAGAAAACAAAGUCACGUUAAAUUAAAAGUAGUGGCCCUUUUUUUCUUUCAUCCACAUUUUUACAAGUUAAAAAUAAUUUCAUAGUAUUUUGGUGUGAAUCAGCCAGUGUCACCUGAAGCCAGCAGCAGCGCUGCUCUGGUGCCUUCUGCUCCUCCAGCUGACUUCAUCCGGCCACCAGAGCGCGUCCCUGCGCCGCGCCUCGGACAGGAGGAGGGGGAUGCCUGCUAGCUGAGCACACAGACCCACUCCCCGUUUUCCUGUGCAAGAAAAAAAGAACAGAGAAACUGUCAAGAGGAACCAGACUGUGUGUUUUCAAGCCCAUGCGCUGCGAGCUUUCUCCUCCACCUCCCCUGGUCUCAGGACUCUCCCAGGAUGCGGUCCAACCGCCCGCACGUCGCAGGCCGGAUGCUUUCGCUCUCCUUCCUAAUCUUCCACUUUGCAAUCAGCAGCUCAAGAAAAGAUUCAGAGAACAGAGAUGAGAUCCAUGUCAUUCACAAGAAUAAACUGGGUAAGUUGGAGCUGUUGUCCUGUCUAAUUAGCAGUUUUGUGUGAGCUGGCAGAGCUUCGUGACGCAGGGAGAAUUGAAGGAUGACACCUUUUUAUCUUUUUCAGGUGAAAAUCUGAAACGUAGUGUAAAAUAAAAGCUAAAACAGCAAUAAAGCAGCGGCUUUGUCUUUAAGCUCCCCGCUCUCAUCUGUAAGUCAUCUCAGAGGCUUUUAGGCCAUGGUGGAGGUUCACCCUGAGCUCCCUGCCUGUCACAAUCAUGCACAAUCAAACCCACAACUGUUUUAACCCACUGCUAUUUCUGACCUGCAGCAGAAUCAAACCUUCAACCUCCUUGAGUGUGUUUUCAGGGAUGUCUGCAAUACCCAUCUAGGUUUCUGGAGGGACAAUUUUAGAUAAAUUGGAAAAAGUAUGUUGAAGCGUCCUGAUUUAUGACGAUUUUUCUAGCAAGAAAAAACAUGCAAGUGUCAGUCGAUUUGCUGCUGUGCUGUACAUUCCCUCAGACAUUGUGUGAGAGUGCAGUAGCGAAAAAGGCAGAGUGCGGCUUACGGUCAUUGCUGGAAACCCGUGGCAGGAAAACCGACAACAGAAGGAAAAUGUUCUGACAGAUAAAAAAGUACAAAUAGAGAAAAAUUGGGUUUAAUAUUACAGUGAUAGUAGAUUUUGGUAACUUCUUGAUCUGUUUUUGCAAAUUAGUCAAAAAAGUAAUGAGAGAAAGAUUAAAGGGAUUUUUUUAAUUAACAGUAUACAAAGAGGUUCGCGG